rnacentral:sRNA from 1 species
AGAAUGGUGUUGCUGAAAGGAUGAACAGGACCAUCAUGAACAAGGUCAGAUGCAUGUUAAGUGAAUCAGGGUUGGGGAAACAGUUCUGGGCAGAAGCAGCGUCUACUGCCGUGUUCCUCAUCAACAAAAGCCCAAGCUCCUCAAUAGAGUUUGAUAUUCCUGAAGAGAAGUGGACUGGUCAUCCACCAGAUUACAAGAUACUCAAGAAGUUUGGAUCAGUUGCUUAUAUUCAUUCAGAUCAAGGAAAGCUGAAUCCUAGAGCAAAGAAGGGGAUUUUUCUCGGAUAUCCAGAUGGUGUAAAGAGAUUCAAAGUGUGGCUGCUAGAAGACAGGAAAUGUGUAGUCUCUCGAGACAUUGUUUUUCAAGAAAAUCAGAUGUACAAGGAACUGCAGAAGAAUGAUAUGUCUGAGGAAGACAAACAGCUCACUGAAGUAGAAAGGACUCUCAUAGAGCUAAAGAAUUUGUCUGCAGAUGAUGAAAAUCAGAGUGAAGGAGGAGAUAAUUCAAACCAAGAACAAGCGUCAACAACAAGAUCUGCAAGUAAAGACAAACAAGUAGAGGAAACUGAUUCUGAUGAUGAUUGUCUAGAGAACUAUCUACUGGCCAGGGAUAGAAUUCGAAGACAGAUCAGAGCUCCACAGAGAUUCGUUGAGGAAGAUGACAGCCUUGUUGGGUUUGCAUUAACAAUGACAGAAGAUGGAGAAGUUUAUGAACCAGAAACCUAUGAAGAAGCCAUGAGAAGUCCAGAAUGUGAGAAAUGGAAGCAAGCUACCAUAGAAGAAAUGGACUCCAUGAAAAAGAAUGACACAU